rnacentral:rRNA from 1 species
AUUGAACGCUGGCGGCAUGCCUUACACAUGCAAGUCGAACGAAGGCUUCGGCCUUAGUGGCGCACGGGUGCGUAACGCGUGGGAAUCUGCCCUUGGGUUCGGAAUAACAGUUAGAAAUGACUGCUAAUACCGGAUGAUGUCGUAAGACCAAAGAUUUAUCGCCCAAGGAUGAGCCCGCGUAGGAUUAGCUAGUUGGUGAG